rnacentral:lncRNA from 1 species
GAAUACAGCGCAAAACAAGAAGGACUCAGCGCGCAAUUACCCCUCCUCAUGCCAGAAUGCGCGGAUCUAGCCACAAUCUGGGUCGAGUCAUCAGGUAAGGCCUCUAAACGGCGUCGUUUGGGCGCUAGGAACCUUAGCUCAAAACGGCGCCGUAUAAUAUAAUUAUUUAAACAACAUUUUUCUAAAAAAAAAAACAUUAGCAACCUAAAUUUAAAAAAAAAAAAUAGCUUCUUGUCUUCUCCGCUAGGGUUUCACCCUAUCGUUCUCACACAGCCCCUUCCGUCUUGAUUCCACCGUGAAUGGUGGUCGGAGCCUCACCACACAAGGCUUUUUGUCUUCUUUUUGCGCAGAUUCAAAGGCAUAACCAAGUAUGUUUUAACCCCC